GGUAGAACUGAACUUUGUUCUACUGAAAUUGCUCAUUGCCAUGUGAUUUGCUUUGGCGAAUGAAAUGAAACUGAAGGUGAUGUGUGGACUCUUCUUGGGGGAGGCAUUUCAUUGCCAGUGACAGAGAUGAAGUCUCACCAUAUUGCCCAGGCUGGUUUCAAACUCUUGGACUUAAGCAAUCCUCCCACCUCGCCUCCCAAAGUGCCAGGAACACACUUAUGUCUCUUACAGCCAUGGAAACAAUGAACUGCUAACAUGUGUUUUUAGAAAGAAUGUGGAAGUAUGGGAACCUCUUCCUUUAUGUGGUAAUUGAGGACUAGGCCAGGCACAGUGGCUCACACCUGUAAU
rnacentral:lncRNA from 1 species